AACACAUGCAAGUCGAGCGGAUGACGGGAGCUUGCUCCUUGAUUCAGCGGCGGACGUGGUGAGUAAUGCCUAGGAAUCUGCCUGGUAGUGGGGGACAACGUUUCGAAAGGAACGCUAAUACCUGCAUACGUCCUACGGGAGAAAUGCAUGUGGUGACCUUCGUGGCCUUGCGCUAUCAGAUGAGCCUAGGUCGUGAUUAGCUAGUUGGUGAGGUAAUGGCUCACCAAUGGCGACGAUCCGUAACUGGUCUGAGAGGAUGAUCAGUCACACUGGAACUGAGACACGGUCCAGACUCCUACGGGAGGCAGCAGUGGGGAAUAUUGGACAAUGGGCGAAAGCCUGAUCCAUGCCAUGCCGCGUGUGUGAAUGAAGGUCUUCGGCAUUGUACAAGCACUUUAAGUUGGGAGGAAGG
rnacentral:rRNA from 1 species